GUUUAAGUUUGUCUAGUACAACCAAGAGGUUGAUAGCUCUUUCUCUCCAUUCAUUUACGUUUAAGGAUGACUGUGGUUUUAAUGAAGCAGAAUAUUCCAAAUACUAAUGGAUCUUAAAUUGCUUAGUCUUACCAAGAGGUACUCCAAAUAGCACGUUUGCCUUGAGUGAUAUAAAGUGAUGAGUUAAUUCAUGUACUUGUGUCAAUUGCUUCAAGAUACCGAGAAUUAGCUGCAGUAGUGAUAUGCUCUUUUUUUUUUUUUCCUUUAUAUGUAUACGGGAAGGUGCGUAGGAAUGGAGAUUGAUUUAACCUCUACUGCACAGAGGAGAGAUCUGGUGGAUGUCCUACAAAUGUCAUUGACAAGACUUCUGCAGAGCUCCUGAAGCAAACUUAACAGAGCUGCUCUACUGAAAGCUUUCUGAAGUCGUUCCUGAAAUAUGAUUCAUAAUCUCUUGAGAUUAACUCAACGGCAAAAAUUAAAAUGUAGGUUUAAUUUGGCACCUUCCACUUAACUGAUUCCUAGUGUAUGAAAAAAUGCUUCAGUUAAGUACUUAAGAUGACAUUUAAUUGGUCCUGAGCAUCUUGCUGCUCUCUCUGAAAUCUCUGUACUCUUUAAAAACUUUAAUCGCUGUCUUUCAGGCAGGGUUAGACUUCUUAGGUACAUAAAAGCUUUAAAGGGGGACUGACUGAGAAAUUUGUUCCAAACUACACAGCUGUCCUCAGUGCCUCCGUACCUCCUGAUAAGAAAAGGGAUUGUUGGUGGGAAAGAGUUUUGAAAAACUAUCGGGGCCAGUUGUUGCUGAUUUUUUUUUUUUUUUUUUUUUUAGCUCUAAUUAAAUGAGAAGGAAGGCACCAGUAAAUAAGCAGCUGGAGGAAAUAAGGAAUUAUCCUUGCUUCUGACGAGACCUAUUUUAAACAUGUGAGAGGGUUAGUAGGCUCUUUUGCUGCUUUCUGCUUCUGUUGCAGUUAUAGCUCACGAGGCUGAAACUGAAGUACCAGACAAAGUAGAAAGUUAUCCGAAAUUGCUCUCUUGUUUAAAAGUAAUAUAUACGUUAUUGUUAGUCUUUCCAUGGCAUUAGUUCUUAUAGCUACAUUUCAGUGAAGUGUUUUUUGUAUGUUCACGUUCUCUCUUGCUUUUUCUUUUUGGCAGCACUGUUCCUUUCUAACAGUAUUUCAGUGCUUAGAAUUAAUGGCAAGCUAUAUUUUAU
rnacentral:lncRNA from 1 species